CUCCGUUUGAUCUGCCGGGACCCGACUGCUAUCAGAGUGGGACUAAGCCAUGCGAGUCAACGUAGCAAUACGUGGCAUACGGCUCAGUAACACGUAGUCAACAUGCCCAGGGGACGAGGAUAACCUCGGGAAACUGAGGAUAAACCUCGAUAGGCCAUGAUUUCUGGAAUGAUUCUUGGCUCAAACCUAUAUGGCCCCUGGAUUGGACUGCGGCCGAUCAGGCUGUUGGUGAGGUAAUGGCCCACCAAACCUAUUACCGGUACGGGCUCUGAGAGGAGGAGCCCGGAGAUGGGCACUGAGACAAGGGCCCAGGCCCUAUGGGGCGCAGCAGGCGCGAAACCUCUGCAAUAGGCGAAAGCUUGACAGGGUUACUCUGAGUGAUUUCCGCUAAGGGAAUCUUUUGGCACCUCUAAAAAUGGUGCAGAAUAAGGGGUGGGCAAGUCUGGUGUCAGCCGCCGCGGUAAUACCAGCACCCCGAGUGGUCGGGACGAUUAUUGGGCCUAAAGCAUCCGUAGCCGGUCCUGCAAGUCUUCCGUUAAAUCCAGCUGCUCAACAGAUGGGCUGCGGGAGAUACUACAGGGCUAGGAGGCGGGAGAGGCAAGCGGUACUUUAUGGGUAGGGGUAAAAUCCGCUGAUCCAUAGAAGACCACCAGUGGCGAAGGCGGCUUGCCAGAACGCGCUCGACGGUGAGGGAUGAAAGCUGGGGGAGCAAACCGGAUUAGAUACCCGGGUAGUCCCAGCUGUAAACGAUGCAGACUCGGUGAUGGGUUGGCCUCGCGCCUGCCCAGUGCCGCAGGGAAGCCGUUAAGUCUGCCGCCUGGGGAGUACGGUCGCAAGACUGAAACUUAAAGGAAUUGGCGGGGGAGCA
rnacentral:rRNA from 1 species